GGUUAAGCGACUAAGCGUACACGGUGGAUGCCCUGGCAGUCAGAGGCGAUGAAGGACGUGCUAAUCUGCGAUAAGCGUCGGUAAGGUGAUAUGAACCGUUAUAACCGGCGAUUUCCGAAUGGGGAAACCCAGUGUGUUUCGACACACUAUCAUUAACUGAAUCCAUAGGUUAAUGAGGCGAACCGGGGGAACUGAAACAUCUAAGUACCCCGAGGAAAAGAAAUCAACCGAGAUUCCCCCAGUAGCGGCGAGCGAACGGGGAGCAGCCCAGAGCCUGAAUCAGUGUGUGUGUUAGUGGAAGCGUCUGGAAAGGCGCGCGAUACAGGGUGACAGCCCCGUACACAAAAAUGCACAUGCUGUGAGCUCGAUGAGUAGGGCGGGACACGUGGUAUCCUGUCUGAAUAUGGGGGGACCAUCCUCCAAGGCUAAAUACUCCUGACUGACCGAUAGUGAACCAGUACCGUGAGGGAAAGGCGAAAAGAACCCCGGCGAGGGGAGUGAAAAAGAACCUGAAACCGUGUACGUACAAGCAGUGGGAGCCUCUUUAUGGGGUGACUGCGUACCUUUUGUAUAAUGGGUCAGCGACUUAUAUUCUGUAGCAAGGUUAACCGAAUAGGGGAGCCGAAGGGAAACCGAGUCUUAACUGGGCGUUAAGUUGCAGGGUAUAGACCCGAAACCCGGUGAUCUAGCCAUGGGCAGGUUGAAGGUUGGGUAACACUAACUGGAGGACCGAACCGACUAAUGUUGAAAAAUUAGCGGAUGACUUGUGGCUGGGGGUGAAAGGCCAAUCAAACCGGGAGAUAGCUGGUUCUCCCCGAAAGCUAUUUAGGUAGCGCCUCGUGAAUUCAUCUCCGGGGGUAGAGCACUGUUUCGGCAAGGGGGUCAUCCCGACUUACCAACCCGAUGCAAACUGCGAAUACCGGAGAAUGUUAUCACGGGAGACACACGGCGGGUGCUAACGUCCGUCGUGAAGAGGGAAACAACCCAGACCGCCAGCUAAGGUCCCAAAGUCAUGGUUAAGUGGGAAACGAUGUGGGAAGGCCCAGACAGCCAGGAUGUUGGCUUAGAAGCAGCCAUCAUUUAAAGAAAGCGUAAUAGCUCACUGGUCGAGUCGGCCUGCGCGGAAGAUGUAACGGGGCUAAACCAUGCACCGAAGCUGCGGCAGCGACGCUUAUGCGUUGUUGGGUAGGGGAGCGUUCUGUAAGCCUGUGAAGGUGUGCUGUGAGGCAUGCUGGAGGUAUCAGAAGUGCGAAUGCUGACAUAAGUAACGAUAAAGCGGGUGAAAAGCCCGCUCGCCGGAAGACCAAGGGUUCCUGUCCAACGUUAAUCGGGGCAGGGUGAGUCGACCCCUAAGGCGAGGCCGAAAGGCGUAGUCGAUGGGAAACAGGUUAAUAUUCCUGUACUUGGUGUUACUGCGAAGGGGGGACGGAGAAGGCUAUGUUGGCCGGGCGACGGUUGUCCCGGUUUAAGCGUGUAGGCUGGUUUUCCAGGCAAAUCCGGAAAAUCAAGGCUGAGGCGUGAUGACGAGGCACUACGGUGCUGAAGCAACAAAUGCCCUGCUUCCAGGAAAAGCCUCUAAGCAUCAGGUAACAUCAAAUCGUACCCCAAACCGACACAGGUGGUCAGGUAGAGAAUACCAAGGCGCUUGAGAGAACUCGGGUGAAGGAACUAGGCAAAAUGGUGCCGUAACUUCGGGAGAAGGCACGCUGAUAUGUAGGUGAAGUCCCUCGCGGAUGGAGCUGAAAUCAGUCGAAGAUACCAGCUGGCUGCAACUGUUUAUUAAAAACACAGCACUGUGCAAACACGAAAGUGGACGUAUACGGUGUGACGCCUGCCCGGUGCCGGAAGGUUAAUUGAUGGGGUUAGCGCAAGCGAAGCUCUUGAUCGAAGCCCCGGUAAACGGCGGCCGUAACUAUAACGGUCCUAAGGUAGCGAAAUUCCUUGUCGGGUAAGUUCCGACCUGCACGAAUGGCGUAAUGAUGGCCAGGCUGUCUCCACCCGAGACUCAGUGAAAUUGAACUCGCUGUGAAGAUGCAGUGUACCCGCGGCAAGACGGAAAGACCCCGUGAACCUUUACUAUAGCUUGACACUGAACAUUGAGCCUUGAUGUGUAGGAUAGGUGGGAGGCUUUGAAGUGUGGACGCCAGUCUGCAUGGAGCCGACCUUGAAAUACCACCCUUUAAUGUUUGAUGUUCUAACGUUGACCCGUAAUCCGGGUUGCGGACAGUGUCUGGUGGGUAGUUUGACUGGGGCGGUCUCCUCCUAAAGAGUAACGGAGGAGCACGAAGGUUGGCUAAUCCUGGUCGGACAUCAGGAGGUUAGUGCAAUGGCAUAAGCCAGCUUGACUGCGAGCGUGACGGCGCGAGCAGGUGCGAAAGCAGGUCAUAGUGAUCCGGUGGUUCUGAAUGGAAGGGCCAUCGCUCAACGGAUAAAAGGUACUCCGGGGAUAACAGGCUGAUACCGCCCAAGAGUUCAUAUCGACGGCGGUGUUUGGCACCUCGAUGUCGGCUCAUCACAUCCUGGGGCUGAAGUAGGUCCCAAGGGUAUGGCUGUUCGCCAUUUAAAGUGGUACGCGAGCUGGGUUUAGAACGUCGUGAGACAGUUCGGUCCCUAUCUGCCGUGGGCGCUGGAGAACUGAGGGGGGCUGCUCCUAGUACGAGAGGACCGGAGUGGACGCAUCACUGGUGUUCGGGUUGUCAUGCCAAUGGCACUGCCCGGUAGCUAAAUGCGGAAGAGAUAAGUGCUGAAAGCAUCUAAGCACGAAACUUGCCCCGAGAUGAGUUCUCCCUGACCCUUUAAGGGUCCUGAAGGAACGUUGAAGACGACGACGUUGAUAGGCCGGGUGUGUAAGCGCAGCGAUGCGUUGAGCUAACCGGUACUAAUGAACCGUGAGGCUUAACCUU
rnacentral:rRNA from 1 species